UCAUCAUGAGGAGCAUUGUGAAGUCAAGAAUUUAUCUUAAUUUACUGGGAACCUGUUUAAUUGUCUUACAACAGCAAGAAAGAAGCCACCCUUGACAGUGGCACGCUUCCAUGCUUUUGUAUCUUCUAGGCGAUGGGAAUGGGAAAUGAGAGAAUGUCUGGGGCACUGGAGUCUUUGAUUAUGUUGGCUAUUUUUCUGACACGGUGAGAAGUGCAGCUUAACAUCAAUUGUUGACAAGAUGUUGGGGCCUGCAGUCAAGGAAAAAGCACCUAAUCAUUUAAAGAAUAAAUGGGUCUUUUUAAAGCCUGGAGGAUGCAACUGGUUGAGUGCUCAAAGGAUCUGUUCUUGGGUCCCAAUUAUUUGCGAUUCAUAUUAAAGAGGAGCAGACUGUAAGGUAUUCAUAAUUGCCAGUGACAGGAAAAUCGGUGGGACAGCAUGUGCUAUUGAAGGGUUGCUGUAACGUUCUCCUUCGGGUGUAACGAAACGCCGAAUUUAACGUCCGGAUAAACCACAGCCAAUGCAAACCAGAUCGCAGCCCAGCUCCACUGCUUCAAUCGGGCCUGAAGUCCAGAGGCCAUACUUACACCCUCAAGAGUGCAGUUCACCAAAUCCUUCAGGAUACAGCAAAAAUGCCAGGUCAUUCAGACAGUUCAAAUACACAACUCUCAAAGGAAAAUCACAGGCUGCAGGUUGCUACGAUCAUAAUCCAGAAGCAUAUUUAAGAAAACAUUUAACAGUUCUGCUCACUCAGAAAUGGAAAACACUUCAAAACAUGUAUGCCAGCACUUCAGAACAAAACACUGAUGGUUUGUGUGCUUCAUACAGCACUUCAUUGCUCAUUGCUAAAUCCGGAAAGCCCCACAUAAUUGGAGAAGAAAGGAUUCUGCUGGCAGUAUGGGAGGUUCUGGGUACAGUUUUGCCUAAAUCACCAGACCAAAUAAUUAAAAUGAUUCCACUCAGCGCCAACUCUGUUCAAAGACGAAUAGAUGAGAUGUCUGAGAAUGUGGAAGACAUAUUGUGCAACGUACUUAGGACAUCAGAAUUUGCUCUACAGUUGGAUGAGUUGACUUUGCUAGCUAAUCUUUGCUUCUUGGUUGUGUUCACUUCAUAAAAGAUGAAAGAAUGGAUCAAGAGUUUCAAUUUGCAAGGGGACUAGAAACAGAUAUGAGGGUGGAGUCAUUAUUUCAGUUUGUUAAGCAAUUAUUUCAAAGAGAAGAAUAUUCCACUCAUGAACAUUCUUGUUUGUGCAACAGAUGGGGCAGCAUCAAUGUCAGGAUGCAACCAUGGGGUUAUUAUUUCCUUUAAAAAUAUGUAGCUAACUUCUUUGCCAUUCAGAGACAUGUUGUUGCAAAAAUCCUGAGUGAUCAGCUGCACAAAUCGUCAAUUCUCAACUAUCUUGGGAGUUUUGUAUUGAGAAUGAUGAACAGUUUGAACGCUUGCUGUUGUAGUCUAAAGUCAGAUGGCUCUCAAAAGGAAACUGCCCGGAACACUUUUGGGUGCUUUUUGAAACUGUGAUGAAAUUCUUUGAAGACUUGAAUGCUUCAUUCAGUAAUCAGCUCAAGAACAUGAGGCAUGUCUUUGCUUAUUUAGCAGAAUUAUUCACAAAGUUUAUCAAAAUCAAUCUUCAAUUGCAAGGAAAUUCUGUGAAUCUUAUUAAAGUCAAAUCAGUGAUCCCUGGUGUGUAUUUAAUAUUUCAGUAAUAUCUGAGAAACAUUGUAAAUAUAUUGCUGAUUAAGAAUUCAUUGUUUAUUUGAAUAAUUAUUAUGGGUUACAUGUAAAAGUACAUGAAAGACAUACGUCGUUACGCCGCCACGUCAUAUGUGCACAACUUGCUGAAAGUAAACCAAAAAUAAACAUACACAAGUUACCCCCCACCAGCACUCACAUAUUUUUCUUUUGAUUAGUUUUGGAGUUACAAAACAUGACAGUGACGACAAAUAAGUUUUAAGAUGAACCUGAGACAACUACCUACCUAUUGAAACAAGGUGUUCAAGCUUUUUAACAAAUGCAGCACGUUUCAUUUGCAAGUGAAAACAAACAUACCAUGCUUUCUUUGCAAGAGGAGAAGAUAGUUGAGUUAAAAAAAAGACAGGAACAUUUAGAAUGCAGGAAUAUUUAGAACUAAAACCAUCACAAAAAAGAGAAAAUCUGCAGGUGCUGGAAAUCCGAGCAACACACACAAAGUGCUAGAGGAACUCAGUAGGCCAGGCAACAUCAAUGGAAAAGAGUACUGUUAAUGUUUCAGGCUGAAACACUUCAGCAGGGCUAGAGGAAAAAAGCUGAGGAAUAGAUUUAAGUGUUGAGGGGAGAAACACACGGUGAUAGGUGAAACCUGGAGGGGGAAGGAUGAAAUAAAGAGCUGGGAAGUUGAUUGGUGAAAGAGACAGAAGGUCAUGGAAGAAAGAAAAGUGGGGAGGAGCUCCAGACAGAAACAAUGGGCAAGCAAGGAGAUAAGAUGAGAGAGGGAAAAGGGGAUGGGAAAUGGUGAAGGGGGGACAUUACUGGAAGUUUGAGAAAUCAAUGUUUGUGCCUCAGGGUUGGAGGCUACCCAGACGAAAUAUAAGGUGUUGUUCCUCCAACUGAAGUGUGGCCUCAUCAGGACAGUGGAAGAGGCAUGGAUAGACAUGUCAGAAUGGGAUUGGGAAGUGGAAUUAAAAUGGGUGGCCACUGGGAGAUCCUGGUUUUCCUGGCAGAUGGAGGAUAGGUACUCAGAGAAGCAGCCUCCCAAUUAACACUGGUUCUCACCAAUAUACAGGAGGCCACACCGGCAGCACUGGACACAGUACAUAGACUCACAGGGACGUCCAUUUCAAUUUAAUUGAAGAAAUUGAGCAUUGCGGUUAUGUAAUGGCUUAGUGAUACACUGAGAACAUUCAGUUUGUGAAAUCUCAUAAAAAAAAUCAUUCAAAAACAGUUUCUAACUGAAAUACAAUUCUCAUCUAAAAGAGCAAUUGAAUUCACUUUAUCAAUGGAAACCGCAGACAGAGAUGCAAUUGAGUUGCAGUCAGGAAUGAAAGUGGACAUGAACAAAAAUGCAACAUCUAAAAGAAACCUGCCAGGCCAAACAAACUGUGUUGCCAUUGUGGCAAUGGCAUAUAUUCACCAGGCCAAUGCAGGUUUAAAGGUGAAACUUGCAGAAAAUUCAACAAAGGAGGACAAAGAUAAAAAGUCAAGUUGCAAUUUCAAGAAGAGCACUAAUCUGAAUGCUGUUGAUGAAAAAUCUGAUAAUGAUGAGAGUGACACAGGACUGAGUAGCCUUAAAAUGUACAAUGUGAAAACCAACAAGAGACAAGCAAUAUGGCUUACACCAGAAGAGUAUGGCAUUGACCACUGGCUUGGCUGUUUCAGUCAUUCCACAAAAUAAUUGUGCGGCAUUUCAAAGAGACUGAACUGAAGCCGGCAGAUACCUAACAAAGAAUUUAUACUGGAGAAAAGAGAACUCCUGUGGGAAUGACAUCGGUAAUAGUGAAAUACGACAACCAACAAGCCGCAUUGGGCUUACGUGUGAUAAAAAUAGGAGGGUCAACGUUGUGGGGCCAUGAUUGGCUGAGACAACUACAACGUGAUUGGAGAUUCAUCCACCAUUUGCAUGCCAUAUUUCAUGCAAUGGAGUCAACUGAAAAUGAAUUAAGGAAGGUACUGGAUGGUGCCACAGCAGUGUUCAAAGGUGGCAUUGGAAAACUCAAACAUAUCAAGGGUAAAAUAAUGUUAAACUGGGUCCAUCAGGAUCUGUGCUGAUUUUAAGAUCACCAUCUUUUAAUUAAUUUUGCAGUCACAAAACAUAACUGUCUCCACCUUUCUAUCUAAGUAAAACCUAUUUAAGUUGCACAUUGGCUGUUGUGACCUUUUCCAAUUUUCAAGCUUCUCUGAGUUGGAAGAGAAAGAAAGAAUUGCAAAUGAUGAUCUUCAAGUAUACUGUGCCCACCUGGGUGAGCUGCAUAAAGUCAUGUCAGAGAGAUUUCAAUCUGAAUUCCAGAUUGGGUAAUAAAUCCAUUCCUGAGCACUUGUCAUGAGGAAUUAGCAGGAAGGAUGGAGGAAG